rnacentral:lncRNA from 1 species
CCGACAGGCAAGUUCGGGUCACCUUUGGCUUAAGUUGGUCUUUGCAGGACCAGCCGUGUCACGUUCGGGUCAACAAAUUAAGAAGAAGUUGAAAGCCAAGGUGGAGGAGGCUCGGACCCCACGCUUCAGUCUAGGACUGUGUUCAUUUAAAGCAGGUGACGCUGAUGCCACCGGUCCAGGGACCACGUGCGGAAACGACAGCGCCCCCCACACAGUAGGUGCUCAGCGACCACUUCAAAGGCGGGGGAGGGGACUGUAGUUCAUGCUGUGUGGC